rnacentral:rRNA from 1 species
AUUGAACGCUGGCGGCAGGCUUAACACAUGCAAGUCGAGCGGAGCGAGGGUGCUUGCACCUUAGCUUAGCGGCGGACGGGUGAGUAAUGCUUAGGAAUCUGCCUAUUAGUGGGGGACAACAUUCCGAAAGGAAUGCUAAUACCGCAUACGCACUACGGGGGAAAGCAGGGGAUCUUCGGACCUUGCGCUAAUAGAUGAGCCUAAGUCGGAUUAGCUAGUUGGGGGGGUAAAGGCCUACCAAGGCGACGAUCUGUAGCGGGUCUGAGAGGAUGAUCCGCCACACUGGGACUGAGACACGGCCCAGACUCCUACGGGAGGCAGCAGUGGGGAAUAUUGGACAAUGGGCGGAAGCCUGAUCCAGCCAUGCCGCGUGUGUGAAGAAGGCCUUUUGGUUGUAAAGCACUUUAAGCGAGGAGGAGGCUACUAGUAUUAAUACUACUGGAUAGUGGACGUUACUCGCAGAAUAAGCACCGGCUAACUCUGUGCCAGCCGCCGCUGUAACAC